rnacentral:lncRNA from 1 species
CGGAAACGCAGAUGCGCCACAUAGGGGAACUCAAACUGGAAACGUUGGCUGCAUUCCAGGCAUGUGUAAGGGGACGACCCUGCUUAGUGAGCAAACACCACACACACGCACGCACGCACACACACACACACACGCACACCACAUGAUUACUCAGCAUCGCCCCCAAGCCAGUUUGCCACCAUCCCCUUGACAAAUCCACCUUCAUUUCUCAGGGCCUGAGUGCCUGAGAAAAGAAUGACCAACCUGAUCUAACUUUCCCUCCUGAUUUGGAGGGAAUACAGCAAACAAGCAAGUUUCCUCGCUUUAUCCUCACCUAUCUGUUUAACUUCAUUCCAGACUACAUCUCAGAAUCUUCCUAUGAGACACCCGAAGGGAAGAAAGGCGCGCCAACGCGCCGGGCUUCAAGGUUCUGCUCUUCCUUAUCUCUGGCCGAUUGGACCAACCGCAGCCACAUGAGACCUUCUGAGGAACCAUUUGCUGCUGAGGUGUCUACCUGCGGUUUGAAAUAAAUGAAAGAAGACAAGAAGGAGAGGGGGAGAGGGACCCUCAUGAGGGAAUGAAAUCAGAAGAAUCAAGACCAUUUCUUCUAUGUUAGUCUUUUCCAAAAAUUGUCUGAGACCACGCUUCCAAAAGUUUGGCCCAAGCUGGGACCUGUCCUCAUGUUUGUAACCAUUAGGCAAGAUAACCAUUCUUUGAAACACUGCAUCAAUCAUAUAGUUUAUUUAAGUCACCGUUUUUAUAUAUUGGUUGAAUACUAAAUGAGGAAAUUUCUUCUUAUAAUUUAGUGUUAACCCCUUGAGAGUUUACUUCUAAGUUAUUCCACAUUACAAAGGUAUGGAGAAUUUUGUUUGUUUCAGAAAUAAAGCAAGCUUAGAUCUUAGAAAUUAUGCUAUGGCAAUCAUGUUCCUAAUCUUGGCUAGAACAAUUAAUAGAUUUUCUUUGUAAAGAAGAAUAGGAAAUGAGAGGUCUGAAUCUUCCAAUUCAGACAUAUGGAUUUGAUGAUGCUUUACUGUCAAAACCAUAAACAUUUUUAUUUAAAUACAAACUCUGGGCACUAGCUAAUAUUACCAAAGAAACUAAUCUUUAGGGGAUGAAGAAGCCUCCUCAAAUGGAAGGCAGAUGUACCCAAUACUUGUCAAAGAACUUGCAGAAACUAGUUAGUAUGCAAAUAGCCUCCACCCCAGUGAAAUCUCCCAGAGUUUAGGAAGUCGUGUUCAUCACCAGGAUAAUCCAGAACUGAAGCACUGAUUUAGAUAUUUCUAACAUUCCAAAUCAAAUUUUGUCAUUUAUUCCAAAAAAUCAGUUGACAAUAAUUUGAGUUUAAUUUUCCUUUUCUAAUUUUUGAUGUGUGAAAUGGGAUUGCUUGCAUUAUUGCAUUUUU